rnacentral:rRNA from 1 species
GAGUACCACGGGACACGUGAAACCCUGUGGGAAGCAGGAGGGACCACCCUCCAAGGCUAAAUACUACCUAGUGACCGAUAGCGUAUAGUACCGUGAGGGAAAGGGGAAAAGAACCCCGGGAGGGGAGUGAAAUAGAACCUGAAACCCUGCACUUACAAGCUGUGGAAGCACAUUGCUUGUGUGACCGCGUACUUUUUGUAGAACGGGCCAACGAGUUACGUUAAGUAGCAAGGUUAAGCACUUAAGGUGCGGAGCCGUAGCGAAAGCGAGUUUUAACUGAGCGUUCAGUUACUUGACGUAGACCCGAAACCGGGCGACCUACCCAUGAGCAGGAUGAAGCGAAAGUAAAA